rnacentral:rRNA from 1 species
GACGAACGCUGGCGGCGUGCUUAACACAUGCAAGUCGAACGGAAAGGCCCUGCUUUUGUGGGGUGCUCGAGUGGCGAACGGGUGAGUAACACGUGAGUAACCUGCCCUUGACUUUGGGAUAACUUCAGGAAACUGGGGCUAAUACCGGAUAGGAGCUCCUGCUGCAUGGUGGGGGUUGGAAAGUUUCGGCGGUUGGGGAUGGACUCGCGGCUUAUCAGCUUGUUGGUGGGGUAGUGGCCUACCAAGGCUUUGACGGGUAGCCGGCCUGAGAGGGUGACCGGCCACAUUGGGACUGAGAUACGGCCCAGACUCCUACGGGAGGCAGCAGGGGGGAAUAUUGCACAAUGGGCGGAAGCCUGAUGCAGCAACGCCGCGUGCGGGAGGACGGCCUUCGGGUUGUAAACCGCUUUCGCCUGUGACGAAGCGUGAGGGACGGUAAUGGGUAAAGAAGCACCGGCUAACUACGU